rnacentral:rRNA from 1 species
UACGUAGGGGGCAAGCGUUGUCCGGAUUUAUUGGGCGUAAAGAGCGUGUAGGCGGCUUGGUAGGUCCGCUGUGAAAACUCGAGGCUCAACCUCGAGAUGUCGGCGGAAACCACUUGGCUAGAGUCCGGAAGAGGAGAGUGGAAUUCCCGGUGUAGCGGUGAAAUGCGCAGAUAUCAGGAAGAACACCCGUGGCUAAGGCGGCUCUCUAGUACGUGACUGACGCUGAGACGCGAAAGCGUGGGGAGCGAACAGG